rnacentral:rRNA from 1 species
AGGAAGGUAGUGUAGUUAACACCUGCAUUAUUUGACGUUACCUACAGAAGAAGCACCGGCUAACUCCGUGCCAGCAGCCGCGGUAAUACGGGAGGGUGCGAGCGUUAAUACGGAAUUACGUGGGACGUAAAGCGCAUGCAGGCGGCCUGUUAAGUCAGAUGUAGAAAGGCCCGGGGACCGUUAACCGUACGGUAAUUGCUAUUUAGUAAACGUGGCGAGGCUAGAGUCUUGUAGAGGGGGGUAGGAAUUUCAGGUGUAGCGGUGAAAUGCGUAGAGAUCUGAAGGAAUACCAGUGGCGAAGGCGGCCCCCUGGACAAAGACUGACGCUCAGAUGCGAAAGCGUGGGGAGCAAACAGGAUUAGAUACCCUGGUAG